GACGAACCGAGCGAACGUUGUUCGGAAUCACUGGGCUUAAAGGGCGCGUAGGCGGCCUGCUAAGUCGGACGUGAAAUCCCUCGGCUCAACCGGGGAACUGCGUCCGAUACUGGCGAGGCUUGAAUCCGGGAGAGGGAUGUGGAAUUCCAGGUGUAGCGGUGAAAUGCGUAGAUAUCUGGAGGAACACCGGUGGCGAAGGCGGCAUCCUGGACCGGUAUUGACGCUGAGGCGCGAAAGCCAGGGGAGCAAACGGG
rnacentral:rRNA from 1 species